UAUACAUCAAAAAAUCCAAAACAACUCACCAUUAUGGCAGGAGACUGCCUCACCUUGAAUAACACUUCUAAUGAGAUUUGGUGUAAGGUUGAGAAAGAUGGACAUGUGCCUAAGAAAUCAACCCUAGAGAAAAAAAUUCCAUCUGUCCGAUUUUAAGCAGACAGAUUGAAUUGGAAAAGCAGUACAGGGAGCUGAUAGAAUUAACAGAAAUACGUAGAAAAAAAUUGGCGGAUACAGUCAGAACAUUUUCUCUUAUACAGGAAUCUUCAGAAAUAUCUUCUUGGAUUAAAGAGAAAGGAGCAUAUGUCCCGGUAGGCCAUAUUGGUGAAAGUGUAGAGGUUGUUGAAAUUAUGCAAAAAAAAUUCAAUGAUUUUCAGUCAGACCUUACAGAAAUGAAAAUAAAGCUCAUAGGGAUAUUAACAAAAACAUAAAAAUAACCGCCCUUGCUUGAAGAUAAACUGAGACAGAUG